rnacentral:lncRNA from 1 species
AUGACCAUAUGUGAGGGUUGGAUGAAAACAGAACAACGUCACAUAUUUUUCCUUUUAAGGACAACAAUAGUCAAUAACAUUUUGUCAUCUAUCUAUUUUCUCCUAAAUGUCCUAAACAGCUUGUACCGAUGGAUAUUUAAAAAACAGUAUGUUGAAAAGUUUCACAAUCUUAUUUUUUUAUUUUUUCUUUUCUCUGCUCCAGAUUCAUGUUGUCUUUUCAUCAUCGGCCUCAACACUCAACGGCUCAAAUGGUGGGCAACUAAUUUAUAUGUUUUCUGAGCAGUUUGUCACUGUAAUAAUAACUCAACUCUGUAAUAAUUUUUUGGGGCCCCCAGGUACUGAUGCCCUACACAUUCUGCGUACCUUGUGCAGGGACAGCGGCGGCCCUGGCGACUAGUCUAUGAAAGGCAUAAAAGUCAGUACAGAGCAGUUAAGUCAACUAGCCAACUAGUCGACUAGUUGAUACAACCCCUAAACUGCAGUAUAUCUUGCUCUUGUGUUUUUAUUUCACUGACAUCCCCCAAACCCAAACAUGCAGAAAUUUUCAUGCUCUGACAUGUGAAAGGCCAACACAAAAUGGACACAAGAGCAUCAACUAAAUCAGUUUUUGUUGACUGUACAACAAACUGUAAGACCAGAGACUUUCGGGACAGUGUUACCUAUUUUAUGUUAGUUCAAAACGGUAUUUUAAUGACUGUAAUUGCUGAUGUGACACAAACUUUCCCCACUGAGGCAUGAUAAAGAGAUUUUGUUUUAUAUUUCUGUUCUAUUUGUCUAUCUGUAAUAUUUCCAGUUCCUAUUUUAAAGUAGGCUAAAUAUGUUUUCCCAGGCCAACAACAAAAAGCAAAUAAUACUAGUUAUCAUCAAUGAAAAUUUCUCAGCUAUUAACAUUCAUGCUUUGGAGCAGAAAAAGUCCAUAUAACCUAAAUAUCUCAAGCUCAGUUUUCUCCACUUUGAUUUACAGUGUGCUCACCUGUUCCAGCCAGAUACCUGCAUCUCUGGGGUUGGGCUCUGAGCUGAGGGAGGAGUUCAUCAUUGAGACUUGGGUGAGUGUGUUGGGGAAGAAAGAUAAAAAGAUGCAGCAGCUACCAGGGACGAAAUUUUGAUUUCAGAAGUGG